UACAGAGGUCCCGAGCGUUGUUCGGAUUCACUGGGCGUAAAGGGUGCGUAGGUGGUGAGGGAAAGUCGGAUGUGAAAUCUCCAAGCUCAACUUGGAAAUGGCAUUGGAAACUACCUUGCUGGAGGUUUGGAGGGGGGGGACUGGAAUACUUGGUGUAGCAGUGAAAUGCGUAGAUAUCAAGUGGAACACCAGUGGCGAAGGCGGGUCUCUGGGCCGAUACUGACGCUGAGGAGCGAAAGCGUGGGGAGCGAACAGG
rnacentral:rRNA from 1 species